rnacentral:rRNA from 1 species
AAUGAACGCUGGCGGCAGGCCUAAAACAUGCAAGUCGAACGCCCUAGCAAUAGGGAGUGGCGCACGGGUGAGUAACACGUGGGAAUAUGCCUUUUGGUACGGAACAACGUCUGGAAACGGACGCUAAUGCCGUAUGGUCCCUUCGGGGUAAAGAUUUAUCGCCAAAAGAUUAGCCCGCGUCUGCUUAGCUAGUUGGUGAGGUAAUGGCUCACCAAGGCGACGAUCAGUAGCUGGUCUGAGAGGACGAUCAGCCACACUGGGACUGAGACACGGCCCAGACUCCUACGGGAGGCAGCAGUUAGGAAUAUUGGACAAUGGACGCAAGUCUGAUCCAGCCAUGCCGCGUGAGUGAUGAAGGCCUUCGGGUUGUAAAGCUCUUUAGUCCACGAUUAUAAUGACUGUAGUGGAAGAAUAAGCCCCGGCUAACUUCGUGCCAGCCGCCGCGGUAAAAC